rnacentral:rRNA from 1 species
GAUGAACGCUGGCGGCGUGCCUAAUACAUGCAAGUCGAGCGAACGGACGAGAAGCUUGCUUUUCUGAUGUUAGCGGCGGACGGGUGAGUAACACGUGGAUAACCUACCUAUAAGACUGGGAUAACUUCGGGAAACCGGAGCUACUACUGGAGCAUAUUUUGUACGGCAGGGUUCAAGAGUGCAUGACGGUCUUCCUGUCACUUAUAGAUGGAGCCGCGCUGCAUUAGCUAGUUGGUAAGGUAACGGCUUACCAAGGCAACGAUGCAUAGCCGACCUGAGAGGGUGAUCAGCCACACUGGAACUGAGACACGGUCCAGACUCCUACGGGAGGCAGCAGUGGGGAAUCUUCCACAAUGGGCGAAAGCCUGACGGAGCAACGCCGCGUGAGUGAUGAAGGUCUUCGGAUCGUAAAGCUCUGUUAUUAGGGAAGAACAUAUGUGUAAGUAACUGUGCACAUCUUGACGGUACCUAAUCAGAAAGCAACGGCUAACUACGUG